rnacentral:rRNA from 1 species
UACGGCGUUUGGAGUACGUGCCCAAAGACCCGAUGCGGAUGAUCUAGCCAUGGGCAGGUUGAAGCGGAGGUAAGACUUCGUGGAGGACCGAACCCACCAGGGUUGAAAACCUGGGGGAUGACCUGUGGUUAGGGGUGAAAGGCCAAUCAAAACUCCGUGAUAGCUGGUUCUCCCCGAAAUGCAUUUAGGUGCAGCGUCGUGUGUUUCUUGCCGGAGGUAGAGCACUGGAUAGGCGAUGGGCCCUACCGGGUUACUGGACCUUAGCCAAACUCCGAAUGCCGGUAAGUGAGAGCGCGGCAGUGAGACUGUGGGGAUAAGCUCCAUGGUCGAGAGGGAAACAGCCCAGAGCAUCGACUAAGGCCCCUAAGCGUACGCUAAGUGGGAAAGGAUGUGGAGUCGCAGAGACAACCAGGAGGUUGGCUUAGAAGCAGCCACCCUUGAAAGAGUUGCGUAAUAGCUCACUGGUCAAGUGAUUCCGCGCCGACAAUGUAGCGGGGCUCAAGCGUACCGCCGAAGUCGUGUCAUUGCAGUAUGUACCCCCAACGGGGACUGUGAUGGGUAGGGGAGCGUCGUGUGCCGGGUGAAGCAGCCGCGGAAGCGAGUUGUGGACGGUUCACGAGUGAGAAUGCAGGCAUGAGUAGCGAUACACACGUGAGAAACGUGUGCGCCGAUUGACUAAGGGUUCCUGGGUCAAGCUGAUCUGCCCAGGUAAGUCGGGACCUAAGGCGAGGCCGACAGGCGUAGUCGAUGGACAACCGGUUGAUAUUCCGGUACCCGCUUUGAAACGCCCAAUAUCGAAUCAGGCGAUGCUAAGUCCGUGAAGCCGCCCUGGAGUCUUCGGACAAAGGGGAGUGGUGGAGCCGACGAACCAGACUUGUAGUAGGUAAGCGAUGGGGUGACGCAGGAAGGUAGUCCAGCCCGGGCGGUGGUAGUCCCGGGGUAAGGGUGUAGGCCGUGUGAUAGGCAAAUCCGUCACACAUUAAGGCUGAGACCUGAUGCCGAGCCGAUUGUGGUGAAGUGGAUGAUCCUAUGCUGUCGAGAAAAGCCUCUAGCGAGUUUCAUGGCGGCCCGUACCCUAAACCGACUCAGGUGGUCAGGUAGAGAAUACCGAGGCGUUCGGGUGAACUAUGGUUAAGGAACUCGGCAAAAUGCCCCCGUAACUUCGGGAGAAGGGGGGCCAUGUCUGGUGAGGGAACUUGCUUCCUGAGCUGGGUGUGGCCGCAGAGACCAGCGAGAAGCGACUGUUUACUAAAAACACAGGUCCGUGCGAAGCCGUAAGGCGAUGUAUACGGACUGACGCCUGCCCGGUGCUGGAACGUUAAGGGGACCGGUUAGCUCCAUUUCGGUGGGCGAAGCUGAGAACUUAAGCGCCAGUAAACGGCGGUGGUAACUAUAACCAUCCUAAGGUAGCGAAAUUCCUUGUCGGGUAAGUUCCGACCUGCACGAAUGGCGUAACGACUCUCGACUGUCUCAACAUAGGCCCGGUGAAAUUGCACUACGAGUAAAGAUGCUCGUUUCGCGCAGCAGGACGGAAAGACCCCGGGACCUUUACUAUAGCUUGAUAUUGGUGUUCGGUUCGGCUUGUGUAGGAUAGGUGGGAGACUGUGAAGCAUGCACGCCAGUGUGUGUGGAGUCGUCGUUGAAAUACCACUCUGGUCGUGCUGGAUGUCUAACCUGGGUCCGUGAUCCGGAUCAGGGACAGUGUCUGGUGGGUAGUUUAACUGGGCGGUUGCCUCCUAAA